rnacentral:rRNA from 1 species
UUUAAGUCAGGCAACGAGCGAGACCCACGCCCACAGUUGCCAGCGUACUCUCCGGAGUGACGGGUACACUGUGGGGACCGCCGCUGCUAAAGCGGAGGAAGGAAUGGGCAACGGUAGGUCAGUAUGCCCCGAAUAUCCCGGGCUACACGCGAGCUACAAUGGUUGGUACAAUGGGUAUCUACCCCGAAAGGGGAUGGAAAUCUCCUAAAGCCAAUCUUAGUUCGGAUCGAGGGCUGCAACUCGCCCUCGUGAAGCUGGAAUCCGUAGUAAUCGCGUUUCAAUAGAACGCGGUGAAUACGUCCCUGCUCCUUGCACA